UACGGAGGGGGCUAGCGUUGUUCGGAAUUACUGGGCGUAAAGCGCGCGCAGGCGGUCUUCCAAGUCAGUGGUGAAAGCCCGGAGCUCAACUCCGGAACUGCCAUUGAAACUGUUGGACUUGAGUACGAGAGAGGUGAGUGGAAUUCCCAGUGUAGAGGUGAAAGUUCGUAGGAUAUUGGGAAGAACACCGGUGGCGAAGGCGGCUCACUGGCUCGUAACGUGACGCUCAGGCGGCGAACAGCGUGGGGAUCAAACAGGAUAGAU
rnacentral:rRNA from 1 species